rnacentral:rRNA from 1 species
GGCGGCAGGCCUAACACAUGCAAGUCGAGCGGUAACAGAAAGAAGCUUGCUUUCUUUGCUGACGAGCGGCGGACGGGUGAGUAAUGCCUGGGAAUAUGCCUUAGUGUGGGGGAUAACUAUUGGAAACGAUAGCUAAUACCGCAUAACGUCUUCGGACCAAAGAGGGGGACCUUCGGGCCUCUCGCGCUAAGAUUAGCCCAGGUGGGAUUAGCUAGUUGGUGAGGUAAAGGCUCACCAAGGCAACGAUCCCUAGCUGGUCUGAGAGGAUGACCAGCCACACUGGAACUGAGACACGGUCCAGACUCCUACGGGAGGCAGCAGUGGGGAAUAUUGCACAAUGGGCGCAAGCCUGAUGCAGCCAUGCCGCGUGUGUGAAGAAGGCCUUAGGGUUGUAAAGCACUUUCAGCAGUGAGGAAAGGGGUGUCGUUAAUAGCUGCAGUGCUUGACGUUAGCGACAGAAGAAGCACCGGCUAACUCCGUG